UACGGAGGAUUCGAGCGUUAUCCGGAUUUAUUGGGUUUAAAGGGUGCGUAGGCGGACUGAUAAGUCAGUGGUGAAAGCCUGUUGCUUAACAACAGAACUGCCAUUGAUACUGCCAGUCUUGAGUACAGUUGAGGUAGGCGGAAUGUGUCAUGUAGUGGUGAAAUACUUAGAUAUGACACAGAACACCGAUUGCGAAGGCAGCUUGCUAAACUGUAACUGACGCUGAGGCACGAAAGCAUGGGGAGCAAACAGG
rnacentral:rRNA from 1 species